UUAAAUUGAAGAGUUUGAUCAUGGCUCAGAUUGAACGCUGGCGGCAGGCCUAACACAUGCAAGUCGAACGGUAACAGGAAGCAGCUUGCUGUUUCGCUGACGAGUGGCGGACGGGUGAGUAAUGUCUGGGAAACUGCCUGAUGGAGGGGGAUAACUACUGGAAACGGUAGCUAAUACCGCAUAACGUCGCAAGACCAAAGAGGGGGACCUUCGGGCCUCUUGCCAUCGGAUGUGCCCAGAUGGGAUUAGCUAGUAGGUGGGGUAACGGCUCACCUAGGCGACGAUCCCUAGCUGGUCUGAGAGGAUGACCAGCCACACUGGAACUGAGACACGGUCCAGACUCCUACGGGAGGCAGCAGUGGGGAAUAUUGCACAAUGGGCGCAAGCCUGA
rnacentral:rRNA from 1 species